AUCCUACCAGGGCUGCGAGCGCUCCGAGGCUGCAUCCCAUCCCCAUCCCUGCCCGCGUUUGGGACGGAGGUGCCGGCGGGGCAUUGCCCUUUUAAGCUGUGGCCCCACUUGCCUCCUCCCCGGCUCCCGGAGGGGCUCCGGCAGCCGCCGCGACCUCCCUCCCUCCCUCUCUCCAUCCCUCCCAUCCCUUUUUCCAUCCCCUCCCUGCCCGCUCCCGGCAGCUGCGGGUCGGGGCGCGGAGAGCCGGGCUGCCGCCGCUCGGGGACCAUGGGAUGCUGCACCGGGCGCUGCACCCUCAUUUUCCUCUGCACUUUGCAGCUGCUUGCUGCAUUAGAGAGGCAAGUGUUUGAUUUCCUGGGAUACCAGUGGGCCCCCAUCCUAGCCAACUUCCUUCACAUCAUCAUUGUUAUCCUUGGCCUCUUUGGCACUAUUCAAUACAGACCUCGCUACAUAGUGGUGUAUGCCAUCUGGACUGCAAUUUGGGUCACCUGGAACAUCUUCAUCAUCUGCUUUUACUUAGAAGUGGGAGGGCUCUCAAAGGACAGUGAACUCCUGACAUUUAACAUCUCCCGGCACCAGUCAUGGUGGAGUGAAAAUGGUCCUGGUUGUGUAAGGAAGGAAGCUUCAAUGUCUGGCAUCAAAGGGCUGGACAGUCAUUCCUACAUCUCUGUGAUAGGCUGUGCCCUGGAGUAUCGGUACAUAGAGGUCAUGCACAGCUCCUUCCAGAUCCUGAUCGCACUGGUGGGCUUUGUCUACGCCUGUUACGUUGUUAGUGUUUUUACAGAAGAAGAAGACAGCUUUGAUUUCAUUGGUGGAUUUGAUCCAUUUCCUCUCUACCAUGUCAAUGAAAAACCCACAAACCUUUUGUUCAAGCAGACAUACCUGUAGACUUUUUACCAAACAAUUUGCUGAGCAUCAACAUGAAUUUACAAACUGUUUUGAUCAACCUGAAACUGCAUGUUUAAGAGGCCUGCGUAAAUGAAGAGGAGCCAGAGGAUGGAUAAACCUUGCACUCCACCAUCAAAGGUGCUGCAGGAAACAAUGCCCCGUGGCCUGGAUCUUUGGCAGAGGAAAUGCAGGCUGGUGAACUCCAUUCCAUUUUUUGUUCCUUGUCUUCUUUACAAAUGCAAUGAAUGUACAUAGAAGAAUGGCCACGUGGUUGGUUUUUAAUUCUCCAAGUGCCCUGAAGAACCAUUCCUACCAUAGCCUGGUGGUACUCGCCAAUAAAUAACAUGGGCCUGAAGACCUCGGGCAGAACAAGUUCACUGAGAGCCUCGCUCAAGAGAUACAGUUGACGUCAGAGUGGCUUCCUUGCACCGUGGAUCCAUAAAGAAGGAAGCACUGCCUAACAUCCUGGGACAUUUCAUGUUUUGUCAUUAGUUUCCUUCCCUUUCUCCUUUCCCUUGUUCUGAGAGCACCUAAAUCCCCUAAUACCACCUCACCUCCUCCCUCCUUGUAUAGAACUAGGGGGGGAUCUACAUUUGAGUUAUUUAGGCUUUUUAUUUUUUUUUAAGUUAUAGAUGAGAGCUCUUCCCUUCUUCCCAUCCACAUCUUCCUUCCUCAUCCUGUAUUCUUUAGGCGUGAUCAGCACCUUAGCAGUAGGCAUUUGUCCUGGAUUUCAGUGUUCCGUGACAACUCCUACAACACUGAACAACUAAAAACUAGUACCAGCACCAAACCUUUACUCAGCAUGGAGCUUAGCUGCAUUUCAACAUGCCAAUCCAUUCUCAGAGCAGCUGUAGUUUUCUCUGGGUUUCCCCAUCUGCAUUAAAUUAACACUGGUGUAGCCAUAUAUGCAGCUGAAACCUGCAGCAGGACACUAGAAAAUGCCUAGUUCUUCAUGGAUCGCGGAUGUUUUUUCUACCUGCCUUCUUCACCAAGAGGCCACACUUAUUCCAGCCUGGCAAUAUCCUGAUGGAAGGGUUUUUAUGCGAGAAGAUAAUUUUGAGAGGAGGGAACGGGUUCAAGGAAAGGGGGAAUAUAAUUGUAAUUAAGUUGCAUUAAUGAGCUGCAGAAAUUACAGAACAAAAAAAUUACAAUGUGAGUUUUAUUAGCUAUGUCUCCCCAGCAUGUUAUGUGUCAAGCAGAGAAAAGAGCACUUGUCAGCCAUGUGCAGCAAUCCGUGGCUGCUACGUGCCAAGUAAUUCUUCAUUGUCUGGCCUGAUCUGCUUGAGAUUACUUGGCAUUUUGAGUAAUGCUUUUCAGAAACGUCAAGCUAGAAGCCACGCUAGGGAGGGGAAGCGUAAGGGAAGAAUUAAAAGAAAUAAAAUCAUUAAGUGCUAAGGCAAAGACAGAAUGAUGUACCUUUCUUUGUCCCAUUCCAAAGGGCCCAGGAAGCAAAAUCCUCUUCUAUAAACCCAGAAGUGUAAGCACCAGGAGAACACUUUUUGUUUUGGUGCCACUUCCAUUCCAGGUGCCCACAGCAACCCAACAUCUUGAGUUCUGACCAGGUGCAGCUCUGAGUUUUCUUCUGUAGGGAUUUUACCUUCUCUCAGCCAGUAGAAGCCACAGCUUCUGACUGAGCCGAACAGAGCUGGCAGUUGCUGGUUUGAUGCUAGUGUCAUCAUUUGAGGAAGAAAAAGCUCAACCUCUUAUAAAAUGGCUCUGCCUGACAAAACAUAACCACCUCCUGUUUUAGUCAAUACUGCGCCACUACCAAGUUAAAGCAAAGAUCAGUGGAGCACAGGCUACUACACCAUUUAGACAGCACAUGUAACUGUGCAUACACAAUCUUAGUCCUUUGUCCACCUGUUCUUUGAUUCAGUUCAUUUCUGUAUUGCACUUAUUCCUACUUUUUUCCUGGAGGUGCAGAAAAAGGAAUGGAAGAAUAAAUAUCCUCUAGUCAAUGAGAUCAUUCUAUUAAAGCUUUCAUUUAGAUGGCGCUUUUGAAAUUAAUGUUCCCUUUCCUCAUCAGAAAACACUGACUUUACACUUUCCGGUUUAAUAUAAUUUCCCCCCGCCUCAGAGAGAACUGUUGUUCAGACACCAGCAUUCUCCAUUGGCCUUGUUUGAGUGCAACCAAAAUCCAGCACAGAUGGUGGAGAAAGCACAGUUUCAGCUUUUAACAGCUGAAACAUUUCACUAGUAGGUUCAGGAAGGAACUCUUCUAGAUGGUAGUAUGGAAUCAGAAGGAACUCUGAAAUAUUUUGAGGUCUGUAUGUUUUUAAUGCUAUGCAUCUCAAACUGACCAAGCCUCGAGGCCACAUCUACUAAGAAAACUGAUCAAAACCACUUGCCAAGUACGCUAAAGACUCUAAGCAUCAAACUAUGCACUUAGCAGCAUGCCUCUUGACUGUAAUACACACUGGUAAAGAUCAAUUAAAUAAAGACAA